GGUUAAGCGACUAAGCGUACACGGUGGAUGCCCUGGCAGUCAGAGGCGAUGAAGGGCGUGCUAAUCUGCGAUAAGCGCCGGUAAGGUGAUAUGAACCGUUAUAACCGGCGAUACCCGAAUGGGGAAACCCAGUGUGAUUCGUCACACUAUCAUUAACUGAAUCCAUAGGUUAAUGAGGCGAACCGGGGGAACUGAAACAUCUAAGUACCCCGAGGAAAAGAAAUCAACCGAGAUUCCCCCAGUAGCGGCGAGCGAACGGGGAGGAGCCCAGAGCCUGAAUCAGCAUGUGUGUUAGUGGAAGCGUCUGGAAAGGCGCGCGAUACAGGGUGACAGCCCCGUACACAAAAGCGCAUGUGCUGUGAGCUCGAUGAGUAGGGCGGGACACGUGGUAUCCUGUCUGAAUAUGGGGGGACCAUCCUCCAAGGCUAAAUACUCCUGACUGACCGAUAGUGAACCAGUACCGUGAGGGAAAGGCGAAAAGAACCCCGGCGAGGGGAGUGAAAAAGAACCUGAAACCGUGUACGUACAAGCAGUGGGAGCACAGGUUUACCUGUGUGACUGCGUACCUUUUGUAUAAUGGGUCAGCGACUUAUAUUCUGUAGCAAGGUUAACCGAAUAGGGGAGCCGGAGGGAAACCGAGUCUUAAUUGGGCGUUAAGUUGCAGGGUAUAGACCCGAAACCCGGUGAUCUAGCCAUGGGCAGGUUGAAGGUUGGGUAACACUAACUGGAGGACCGAACCGACUAAUGUUGAAAAAUUAGCGGAUGACCUGUGGCUGGGGGUGAAAGGCCAAUCAAACCGGGAGAUAGCUGGUUCUCCCCGAAAGCUAUUUAGGUAGCGCCUCGUGAAUUCAUCUCCGGGGGUAGAGCACUGUUUCGGCUAGGGGGCCAUCCCGGCUUACCAACCCGAUGCAAACUGCGAAUACCGGAGAAUGUUAUCACGGGAGACACACGGCGGGUGCUAACGUCCGUCGUGAAGAGGGAAACAACCCAGACCGCCAGCUAAGGUCCCAAAGUCAUGGUUAAGUGGGAAACGAUGUGGGAAGGCCCAGACAGCCAGGAUGUUGGCUUAGAAGCAGCCAUCAUUUAAAGAAAGCGUAAUAGCUCACUGGUCGAGUCGGCCUGCGCGGAAGAUGUAACGGGGCUAAACCAUGCACCGAAGCUGCGGCAGCGACACUGUGUGUUGUUGGGUAGGGGAGCGUUCUGUAAGCCUGUGAAGGUGUGUCGUGAGGCAUGCUGGAGGUAUCAGAAGUGCGAAUGCUGACAUAAGUAACGAUAAAGCGGGUGAAAAGCCCGCUCGCCGGAAGACCAAGGGUUCCUGUCCAACGUUAAUCGGGGCAGGGUGAGUCGACCCCUAAGGCGAGGCCGAAAGGCGUAGUCGAUGGGAAACGGGUUAAUAUUCCCGUACUUGGUGUUACUGCGAAGGGGGGACGGAGAAGGCUAUGUUGGCCGGGCGACGGUUGUCCCGGUUUAAGCGUGUAGGUGUGUGUUCCAGGUAAAUCCGGUUCACUUUAACACUGAGGCGUGACGACGAGGCACUACGGUGCUGAAGCAACAAAUGCCCUGCUUCCAGGAAAAGCCUCUAAGCAUCAGGUAACAUCAAAUCGUACCCCAAACCGACACAGGUGGUCAGGUAGAGAAUACCAAGGCGCUUGAGAGAACUCGGGUGAAGGAACUAGGCAAAAUGGUGCCGUAACUUCGGGAGAAGGCACGCUGACACGUAGGUGAAGUGAUUUACUCAUGGAGCUGAAGUCAGUCGAAGAUACCAGCUGGCUGCAACUGUUUAUUAAAAACACAGCACUGUGCAAACACGAAAGUGGACGUAUACGGUGUGACGCCUGCCCGGUGCCGGAAGGUUAAUUGAUGGGGUCAGCGCAAGCGAAGCUCCUGAUCGAAGCCCCGGUAAACGGCGGCCGUAACUAUAACGGUCCUAAGGUAGCGAAAUUCCUUGUCGGGUAAGUUCCGACCUGCACGAAUGGCGUAAUGAUGGCCAGGCUGUCUCCACCCGAGACUCAGUGAAAUUGAACUCGCUGUGAAGAUGCAGUGUACCCGCGGCAAGACGGAAAGACCCCGUGAACCUUUACUAUAGCUUGACACUGAACAUUGAGCCUUGAUGUGUAGGAUAGGUGGGAGGCUUUGAAGUGUGGACGCCAGUCUGCAUGGAGCCGACCUUGAAAUACCACCCUUUAAUGUUUGAUGUUCUAACGUGGACCCGUUACCCGGGUUGCGGACAGUGUCUGGUGGGUAGUUUGACUGGGGCGGUCUCCUCCUAAAGAGUAACGGAGGAGCACGAAGGUUGGCUAAUCCUGGUCGGACAUCAGGAGGUUAGUGCAAUGGCAUAAGCCAGCUUGACUGCGAGCGUGACGGCGCGAGCAGGUGCGAAAGCAGGUCAUAGUGAUCCGGUGGUUCUGAAUGGAAGGGCCAUCGCUCAACGGAUAAAAGGUACUCCGGGGAUAACAGGCUGAUACCGCCCAAGAGUUCAUAUCGACGGCGGUGUUUGGCACCUCGAUGUCGGCUCAUCACAUCCUGGGGCUGAAGUAGGUCCCAAGGGUAUGGCUGUUCGCCAUUUAAAGUGGUACGCGAGCUGGGUUUAGAACGUCGUGAGACAGUUCGGUCCCUAUCUGCCGUGGGCGCUGGAGAACUGAGGGGGGCUGCUCCUAGUACGAGAGGACCGGAGUGGACGCAUCACUGGUGUUCGGGUUGUCAUGCCAAUGGCACUGCCCGGUAGCUAAAUGCGGAAGAGAUAAGUGCUGAAAGCAUCUAAGCACGAAACUUGCCCCGAGAUGAGUUCUCCCUGAGACUUAGAGUCUCCUGAAGGAACGUUGAAGACGACGACGUUGAUAGGCCGGGUGUGUAAGCGCAGCGAUGCGUUGAGCUAACCGGUACUAAUGAACCGUGAGGCUUAACCUUACAACGCCGAAG
rnacentral:rRNA from 1 species